GGGGAGCGCAGCCCGUGCCUCAGCCCCACGUGUGGCGGCCGAGCGGGGAAGUUGCCGGCGGCCGGCGCUGCGGACCCUGCUCCUCUCCCGCCGCUGCCCGGCCCUUCCCGUCUCUCGGAGCACGCAACUCCAACCUAUUUAUAACAUACAGACCUCCUAAGAUGAAGCUAAGAAGAAGACUAUUCUCAACCUUUGUUGAUUUCACUGAUAAAUGAAAUUGAAAUGAAAUUGUCAGAUAAAUGAACUUCUCCUUGCACAGCAGUUUUAGCUGCUGGUUUCCCUAAUGCUUGUGGGAAACGUGGAAGGGACAUCUACCAACAGGAAUUUUAGGUGAAGCUAUCAAAUACUGUCCAAUAUUUUGGGAGAACAACCUGUUUCUUUAGUGCAUUUUCCAGCCUGGACUUGCAUAGGUCUCCAUUCUGCUCCUCGAGAGGGUUUUGGCAGAGCUGUUGGCCACAAAUGCAGGGCAGCACAGAGGAGCAUGGACAGCACUGACAGACUUACAGGGACAAAGACAAGUGACUUGCAGAGCUGGGCAGCUUCAGAUGCUGCCAGGAUGGACACUGGAAAAGUCUCCUAGGGAGUCCUGAGCACGCAUUACACCUUUUUGGGAUAUGAUUGGUGUUCACAGUCCCAUGGGACUGGUUUGUGUUCAAACCAGUAACAUCAAAUGUUCAGUAGUGACUGCAUACCCACGCCUCCUGUCUGUGGAACAGCAUCUGAGCUUUACAGCUGCCCCAGAGCGUGGGGUGGAAAUGGGCCUGUGUGAGGUGACAACCCUCAGUAAUGCUCCCUAGCUGAUCGCUGGGUCAUUGCUGUUUGUUUGGAGAGGGGUCUGGGUGCAGUAGCAGCAAGAGAGUGGACUGUGUGCUCACUGAGUGGACUGUGUGCUCACUGGUUGCUGCUAGAUCUGUAUGCUAGCAAAAUAAUUUCAAUAUUUAAAAAAAAAUCUAAUCAUGUUUUUCUAUGCAUUAAAUAAACACAAAUGCUUUUGCACAUAUGUAUGUAUGUAUAAGAGAUACAUGUGCUGAUUAGGUGAUAUGACCUAUCUUACUGGAUGGUAGCUACAUUUGAUGAUGGCAGUGUGUAAAGUAACGCAGUUUCCUUAUUUGUUUUCACAAAUUUUCCUUCUCCAUCAUCUUUCUCCCUUUCUUGUUGCUUUGAAGACCAACAAGGCUUGUCCCAAUGAUGGUGUUCCACCAAGAAGCAGUGGUGAGAAGCUGAAUGAACUCCUGCAUUAAGUCACAGAAGAUGGGUCCUGUUUCAGCAGGCAGCACUGCUGUUAUGGGGGCUGUGCUCAAAGAGAUGCAUAGAUCUCUUGCAGUUCUAUCAGGGUUUGAGGAAGCUAACCACCACUUCUUUCUGCUGAACUGGGCGGGCUCUGCUUUUACUGCUACGGAUGAGCUUCAGCUGCUCCCAAAGCUGUCUGAGCCCUUUGAGAAUGGAUCUGGCAUCUCAUUCAGGUUCAGGUGCUUCAGAACAAAAGGAUCUCUGUCUCCAUACUAAUCUCUCCACCAUGAACUGCAAGAAACAUCCUGGGUGGAUUGGCAUCCGUGACAUGCAGUAACAAUUUGUACUGCAUGCCAAUAUAGAUUUCUCCAGUUUUUGAUUCAUUAUGAAAAUGCUUGGAGAAAUUGUCCCACAAAGAGAUCUUGCCUGUUGUCUUCUCUGGAGAUCCCCAAGGCUGAUGGCUUUACAGGGCCACCAGAGCAGUGGUAGGGCUGUAAGUCCACAAGUUCUGUAACCAGGUGAGACUUUUCUUUAGAGCGUGAAAGAUCCUGAGGUGUCUGUGAUGCUGUUUUGGGUUGCUUCUUUUUUGGUUUGUUUUGGUUUUUAAUUUUUUUUUUUUUAAUUAUAGCAGUAACAGCUUCCCAGUAAGUCCUGCAUACAGCUGAGGAGUUACCUUCCUUUCUACUCAUUAUGGCAAAGAGUUAUGUGGGCAGAUGUGGCCUGUGUGCGUAUUUGCUGAGCUCUUAAUCCUGUUUGUGGCUGAUAGACCAUGCAAAUAUGGAAGGGCAUCUCUUUCAGUAUAUAAAGGUCUUAACUGCUCACCACCUUAGGGAAACGUGCUGUUAAAAUGCUUUAAUUGUUUUAUAAGUAGGUACAGGCCAUGAAGUUGUAGAUGUAAAAUCCUGCAACAAAGCAGACCACCAGCCUUUUUUUUUUUUUUUUUUUUUCCUUCUGGUUGCUUGUUUGGCUUUUUGAGAGAGAUAUUUUUACUAAAGACAGAUCAUAAAAUAAGUACUGUAGGUAACAGAGGAAGCAGGCUUUGUAUAAUGAAUGGGGGAAGCAGCCAGAGAUGAGAUAUUCGUGAGCCCUUUGAGCACAUAUAUAUCUUGAGGGGAUAAGAAUGUGUGAUACUAUUCUCUCUGUUGUCUUUUGCCCUGUCACUAGUUUAGUUUCCGUAGGGGGUUUUUUUGGUCUUCUUUAUCCUUUGUUCUUUGCAUCUAAAAUGGAUGUACAAUGCAACAAAGGUAGUCACUUCGUACUUUCUUAAAACUGUGAGCUUUUGGGUGUCUGUGUAUCUAGAAGUUUCUGACCACUGUUGUAAUUAGAAAUCUUGUACCUCAAAAGGUAGGGCAUACCCCAAUCAAAUUACUUUGCAUUAAAGUUCUGAAAGUACAAGCAUAAUUUUAAGUAUAUGAGCAACUUGUCAGAGGGAUUAUCUUUCGAGUCCAUCAGUAUUUUGGUCAAAACUUAAUGUAAAUGAAAGUGUGCCGUGCAGUGAACUUUCCAUUGCAGUUUCCGGUGAGUGUAGAAAACACCAGUUGUUGCAAUUCACGUGUGCUGUUUAAGUAGCUACAUCAUUGAUGGGGCUGCAUUCUUGGGACCAGAGGAGUUACAUUGUGUAGUUUUGUGGUGAGAUUCUUUGGGUAUAAAAAGCUGCUAAGUAGCUGCCUGCCUUCCUCUUUGCUCAUACGCUCUAUUAAAGGUAUGUGCAAGAUAGGGACCUUACUUCCACGUUUACCAAAGUUCGGUGGGAGGUGUUGAUAAAACCAGAAAGUGGGGCUGGAUUUGUAGGUGGAAGAUGGAGGGUAAGUGAUUUGUGACACUGACUUUUGCAGCAUGCACGGCACUCGACUGUUAGGUUUCUCUUGAGUGCAGGUUGCUAACACAGCCACGCUUGUGUUUUCCCUUGUCUGUAAGAGCUGCUUCUGUGACCAUAAUGCAGUCUCUGACUUACAAAAAGGAGACACAAUAAUAUGGAAAUUCAGUGAAAGUGUCAGUUUUGAGUUUUUGGAUUCUUUUUUUCUUUAAAUAGGUAGUAACAAUACUGCUGGGCUUUUCCCAGUCCUCUGCAGGUGCCUGUGGACCUGCAGGUAAAGGGUCAUAGCAGAGGAGUCUGACUGCAUGUAGAGUGGGUGGGUAUUGACUUUCUGUGUUAUGGCAGAGGGUCAGAAGAGGCAGGUUUACAAGGUUUUGUGAAACGGUCUGAUGUGUGGAAGCAGGAAUGCUGAAACUCAUUAUUGGACUUACCAAAGCCUGUGAACCUAGGCUAGAAUGUGAACUCGUGACUGGUGCCCUAAGUCUUAGUGCCAGCUAACCUCUUUUCUGAUCCCUUUCAUGAUUUUUAUUUUAUCUUGUUUGGAUUGCACUUGUUUUCCAUUAGACUUUUUCUUGUGGUCCUUUUAUUUGCUCUGGUAUUUUUCUUUCUAUUUACCCUAGCUUUUCUUUGACGGUUUCUCUGAUUUUUUUUUAAUUGCAUUGUUAGAUUUUUCUCCUGUGCACAACCUGUGUUGUUUACAUUUAUUCUUCCUUUAUUCAUCUUCUUACAUUUUUCUCCUUUUAACUCUUAUUCUUGGAGGAACCAGUUUUACUCUUUGAGACCAUCCCUUUCUUAUUGAUUGCCAGCUGCUUUUAUUGAAACUAAUUUACAUUCUCUGCUCUUAUUGUGCUAGACAGAGGACUAGUGAUUUUGAGUAAAGCUCUUUCCCAAAAGGCUUUGCUCAGAAAUUGUCUCUGUAUUUCACAAAAAGAGUGGA
ensembl:lncRNA